ACAUAGGUUUUACUAAAAACCAUAUUUACAAAUUUUACUUCAAAAU
rfam:Solanum lycopersicum cultivar Heinz 1706 chromosome 4, whole genome shotgun sequence.